rnacentral:lncRNA from 1 species
UGAUAAACUAAAUCAAGAGUUUUUUUUCUCAAGGUCACAUGCUGAAUUUCGCUUGUACAUUUACCCACAAAGGACUUCCCUAAAAUGAAAUGAAUAGUCUUUUCAUUCUUCAAAGUAGGAAGUUACAAACUAUAGUAAUUACAAGUUAAUUGGGAAUCAACAGUGGUUAGUAUAAAAAAGAAGAUGUUGUAUGAUUUCCAAUGAGACAACUAUCCACAAAAGACAAAAAUGACACAGACAUUAAUAACGAUAGGUCACCGUACGGCCUUCAACAAUGAGCAAAGCCCAUACCGCAUAGUCAGCUAUGUAUGCUUCAGAUGUUUUAUUGAAAAUGUAAAAGUAUACAAGUGUACAUAAACAUGUCCUUGAUAAGUACUGUUCGUAGAUCGAUGUAUCAAACAAGUAUCCUUAAAAAAAUCUAUUUGAAUUCUUGAUUUGUAGUCAGCUAAUUCAUUAUGUAUAAUCGAAUUUUCGUGGGGGAAAAAUCCCGAUUUACAAGAAUUUACGUCUACAACUUAACAAUAUUUUAGUUUCGGUACAAUAUCUCCAAAAACAUGUUUCUAUAAAUAGACUAAACACAUAGCUCACGUAUGCAUAUUUCAAGAACCC